UCUUCAUUAGUAUAACGGUUAGUAUAACCGCUUCUCAUGAUUCGCAAUUUUAACAGGCGAAUUUAGAGCGCGGUAGACCAGGGUUCAACUCCCUGAUGGAGAA
rnacentral:tRNA from 1 species